GUGGCUGGCGGCUGGGUGCCUUCUACUGGUGCUGUGCAGAGGCUUUCCCUAAGGCUGCUGUGAGCCUGUAGGCUUUCCCCCUAGGCUACUAAGCUGG
rnacentral:pre_miRNA from 1 species